UCCUAGCCCUAAACGAUGCUCACUAGGUGUUAGAGGUAUCGACCCCUCUAGUGCCGCAGCUAACGCGUUAAGUGAGCCGCCUGGGGAUUACAACCGCAAGGUUAAAACUCAAAUGAAUUGACGGGGGCCCGCACAAGCGGUGGAGCAUGUGGUUUAAUUCGAUGCUACGCGAAUAACCUUACCUGGGUUUGACAUGCUAGUAGUAGAACCCUGAAAGGGGAACGAUGUACUUUUAGUACAAGCUAGCACAGGUGCUGCAUGGCUGUCGUCAGUUCGUGUCGUGAGAUGUUGGGUUAA
rnacentral:rRNA from 1 species